rnacentral:rRNA from 1 species
GACGAACGCUGGCGGCGUGCUUAACACAUGCAAGUCGAACGGAAAGGCCCUGCUUUUGUGGGGUGCUCGAGUGGCGAACGGGUGAGUAACACGUGAGUAACCUGCCCUUGACUUUGGGAUAACUUCAGGAAACUGGGGCUAAUACCGGAUAGGAGCUCCUGCUGCAUGGUGGGGGUUGGAAAGUUUCGGCGGUUGGGGAUGGACUCGCGGCUUAUCAGCUUGUUGGUGGGGUAGUGGCUUACCAAGGCUUUGACGGGUAGCCGGCCUGAGAGGGUGACCGGCAACAUUGGGACGGGGAACCGGCCCGGACUCCUACGGGAGGAAGCAGUGGGGAAUAUUGCACAAUGGGCGGAAGCCGGAUGCAGAACCGCCGCGUGCGGGAUGACGGCCUUCGGGUUGUAAACCGCUUUCGCCUGUGACGAGGCGUGAGUGACGGUAAUGGGUAAAGAAGCACCGCUAACUACGUG